GCCGCCGCCGACGGGGACGGCCGCACCAGCCUGCAUAAGGCGGCGGAGCGCGGCCACCGGGAGCUCUGCGUCCUCCUGCUGCAGAACAGCCCUGCCUUGCUGGCUGCUCGUGAUGCUAAAGGACGGCGGCCCCGCGACACGGCCGACCCCGCGGUGUGGGAUCUGCUGGACGGAUGAAGGGAGGCAGCGAGGACACCGCGGAUGGAGGCAGAGGGAAACGGCCCCGCUGGGAAAAAAAGGCAAAGCUCUGGGCCUGAA